CCUACGGGUGGCAGCAGUGGGGAAUAUUGCACAAUGGGGGAAACCCUGAUGCAGCAACGCCGCGUGGGUGAAGGAGCGUUUCGGCGCGUAAAGCCCUGUCAGCGGGGAAGAAGAAAGACAGUACCAGACCAAGAAGCCCCGGCUAACUACGUGCCAGCAGCCGCGGUAAUACGUAGGGGGCGAGCGUUAUCCGGAUUUACUGGGUGUAAAGGGAGCGUAGACGGCGGUGCAAGUCAGAUGUGAAAGCCCGGGGCUCAACCCCGGGACUGCAUUUGGAACUGUGCUGCUAGAGUGUCGGAGAGGCAGGCGGAAUUCCUAGUGUAGCGGUGAAAUGCGUAGAUAUUAGGAGGAACACCAGUGGCGAAGGCGGCCUGCUGGACGAUGACUGACGUUGAGGCUCGAAAGCGUGGGGAGCAAACAGGAUUAGAUACCCUUGUAGUC
rnacentral:rRNA from 1 species